rnacentral:rRNA from 1 species
GACGAACGCUGGCGGCGUGCUUAACACAUGCAAGUCGAACGGUAAGGCCCUUCGGGGUACACGAGUGGCGAACGGGUGAGUAACACGUGGGUGAUCUGCCCUGCACUUCGGGAUGAGCCUGGGAAACUGGGUCUAAUACCGGAUAGGACCCUGGGAUGCAUGUCCUGGGGUGGAAAGCUUUUGCGGUGUGGGAUGGUCCCGCGGCCUAUCAGCUUGUUGGUGGAGUGAUGGCCUACCAAGGCGACGACUGGUAGCCUGCCUGAGAGGGUGACCGGCCACGCUGGGACUGAGAUACGGCCAAGACUCCUACGGGAGGCAGCAGUGGGGAAUAUUGCACAAUGGGCGCAAGCCUGAUGCAGCGACGCCGCGUGAGGGAUGACGGCCUUCGGGUUGUAAACCUCUAUCAGCACCGACGAAGCGCAAGUGACGGUAGGUGCAGAAGAAGGACCGGCCAACUACGUGCCAGCCGCCGCGGUAA